UGUGAGUUCGAUGAGUAGGGCGGGACACGUGACAUCCUGUCUGAAUAUGGGGGGACCAUCCUCCAAGGCUAAAUACUCCUGACUGACCGAUAGUGAACCAGUACCGUGAGGGAAAGGCGAAAAGAACCCCGGCGAGGGGAGUGAAAUAGAACCUGAAACCGUGUACGUACAAGCAGUGGGAGCCUACUUGUUAGGUGACUGCGUACCUUUUGUAUAAUGGGUCAGCGACUUAUAUUCUGUAGCAAGGUUAACCGUAUAGGGGAGCCGCAGGGAAACCGAGUCUUAACUGGGCGUUAAGUUGCAGGGUAUAGACCCGAAACCCGGUGAUCUAGCCAUGGGCAGGUUGAAGGUUGGGUAACACUAACUGGAGGACCGAACCGACUAAUGUUGAAAAAUUAGCGGAUGACUUGUGGCUGGGGGUGAAAGGCCAAUCAAACCGGGAGAUAGCUGGUUCUCCCCGAAAGCUAUUUAGGUAGCGCCUCGUGAAUUCAUCUUCGGGGGUAGAGCACUGUUUCGGCUAGGGGGUCAUCCCGACUUACCAACCCGAUGCAAACUACGAAUACCGAAGAAUGUUAUCACGGGAGACACACGGCGGGUGCUAACGUUCGUCGUGAAGAGGGAAACAACCCAGACCGCCAGCUAAGGUCCCAAAGUCAUGGUUAAGUGGGAAACGAUGUGGGAAGGCA
rnacentral:rRNA from 2 species